GAGUAAUGCCUGGGGAUUUGCCCAGUUGUGGGGGAUAACAGUUGGAAACGACUGCUAAUACCGCAUAAACCCUACGGGGAAAAGGGGAGGCUCUUCGGACUUCUCGCAAUUGGAUAAGCCCAGGUGGGAUUAGCUAGAUGGUGAGGUAAAGGCUCACCAUGGCGACGAUCCCUAGCUGUUCUGAGAGGAUGAUCAGCCACACUGGGACUGAGACACGGCCCAGACUCCUACGGGAGGCAGCAGUGGGGAAUAUUGCACAAUGGGGGAAACCCUGAUGCAGCCAUGCCGCGUGUGUGAAGAAGGCCCUAGGGUUGUAAAGCACUUUCAGUCAGGAGGAAAGGUUAGUAGUUAAUACCUGCUAGCUGUGACGUUACUGACAGAAGAAGGACCGGCUAACUCCGUGCCAGCAGCCGCGGUAAUACGGAGGGUCCGAGCGUUAAUCGGAAUUACUGGGCGUAAAGCGUGCGCAGGCGGUUUGCUAAGUCAGAUGUGAAAGCCCCGGGCUUAACCUGGGAAUAGCAUUUGAAACUGGCAAACUAGAGUCUUGUAGAGGGGGGUAGAAUUUCAGGUGUAGCGGUGAAAUGCGU
rnacentral:rRNA from 1 species